GUGGAAAAGACAGAAGAUUGAUGUGGGUGGAACAAGUUAACAAGCAGGGAAGGAAGUGAUAUGCUCUUGGGCCAGGUGACACAGGGCUAGCAGGCCAUGGGUUUUACUGUGAGAGCAAUGGGAAGUCACUGGAGAGACUGAAAGUGUUCUGGAUCUGUGGUAUGUGGGUGAUUUUAUAUAUACAAAGUUGUAUGCAGCCAUGCACUUAAGGUUUGUGCAAUUUAUUGUAUUUUUUAUUGAAAUAAUAUUUUUAAAAUAAAAAAGUAAACAUGAGCACUUGAUUAUUUUUACCCCUCUCACUUUUGAUGUGGUGAAUGGUAGGACUGUGUGAGAAGAUUUUGGUUUGGGGAAGGCUAGGAAAGUUGUUUUACCAGGAAUUGAACCCAGGGGCGCUUAUCCACUGAGCCACAUCCCCAGCCCUUUUUAUUUUUUAGAAAUGGUCUCGCUAAGUUGCUUAGGGCCUAAAUUGCUGAGGCUGGCUUUGAACUUGUGAUCCUCCUGCCUCAGCCUUCCCAGCUGCUGGGAUUACAGACAUGUGCCACCAUUCCCUGUGGGAAGUUUUUGUGUUUAUAAAAUGUGUGAAUUGAAUUCUUGUUCUGGUUUCAUCAUAGGUAGUAGUGACACUAAAAUUAGGCAAAUUUUUAAAUUUCCACUUUAAAAAAAUUGCUGGUAUAGAAC
rnacentral:lncRNA from 1 species